ACGGGUGAGUAACGCGUAAAGAACUUGCCGGAUGGACCGGGAUAACAGCUGGAAACGGCUGGCAAGACCGGAUACUGUGGGCUGGCCGCAUGGCUGGCCCAUGAAAAGGGAUGCCGUCCGAGAGCUUUGCGUCCUAUUAGCUGGUUGGUAAGGUGACGGCUUACCAAGGCGAUGAUAGGUAGCCGGCCUGAGAGGGUGGACGGCCACAAGGGGACUGAGAUACGGCCCUUACUCCUACGGGAGGCAGCAGUGGGGAAUAUUGGACAAUGGGGGCAACCCUGAUCCAGCAAUUCUGUGUGCACGAAGAAGGUUUUCGGAUCGUAAAGUGCUUUCAGCAGGGAGGAAGGAAGUGACUGUACCUGCAGAAGAAGCGACGGCUAAAUACGUGCCAGCAGCCGCGGUAAUACGUAUGUCGCGAGCGUUAUCCGGAAUUAUUGGGCAUAAAGGGCAUCUAGGCGGCCGGGUAAGUCCGGGGUGAAAACUGCUGGCUCAACCAGCAGCCUGCCUUGGAAACUACCCGGCUGGAGUGCUGGAGAGGUGGACGGAACUGCACGAGUAGAGGUGAAAUUCGUAGAUAUGUGCAGGAAUGCCGAUGAUGAAGAUAGUUCACUGGACGGCAACUGACGCUGAAGUGCGAAAGCUAGGGGAGCGAACAGGAUUAGAUACCCUGGUAGUCCUAGCUGUAAAC
rnacentral:rRNA from 1 species